UUGAUAAGGCUGAUCUGGUCCACUUCUUUUAUAAAGGACUACCUCCAGCACAUAGAAACAUGAUUGAGUCCAUGCACAAGGGUAGGUUCAUGAACCAAACCCCAGAUCAAGCCUAUGAAUUUCUUGUUGACUUAGCUGAAAAUGCCCAAAAUUAGAGUAGCUAUGGUGAGGAAGUAAUUAGAGAUGAGUUUGGGUCUAGAAAACCAGGUAAUUAUGAAAUGAAAGCAGACCCAAAACUCAAAAAUGUCAUGUCCAAUCUGGUGGCUGGAAUGAACAACUU
rnacentral:lncRNA from 1 species